rnacentral:rRNA from 1 species
UACGUAGGGACCAAGCGUUGUUCGGAUUUACUGGGCGUAAAGGGCGCGUAGGCGGCUUAACAAGUCACUUGUGAAAUCUCCGGGCUUAACUCGGAACGGCCAAGUGAAACUGUUGUGCUAGAGUGCGGAAGGGGCUACUGGAAUUCUCGGUGUAGCGGUGAAAUGCGUAGAUAUCGAGAGGAACACCUGCGGCGAAGGCGGGUAGCUGGGCCGACACUGACGCUGAUGCGCGAAAGCCAGGGGAGCGAACGGG